CCUACGGGUGGCAGCAGUGAGGAAUAUUGGUCAAUGGGCGAGAGCCUGAACCAGCCAAGUCGCGUGAGGGACGACGGUCCUAUGGAUUGUAAACCUCUUUUGCCGGGGAGCAAAAAGCGGUACGUGUACCGCCUCGAGAGUACCCGGCGAAAAAGCAUCGGCUAACUCCGUGCCAGCAGCCGCUGUAAUACGGAGGAUGCGAGCUUUAUCAGUAUUUAUUGGGUUUAAAGGGUGCGCGGGCGGCGAGUUAGGUGAGCGGUAAACUUUCGGGGCACACCCUCGACGAGCCGGUGAAACUGGCUUGCUAGAGUGGGCGAGAAGUAUGCGGAAUGCGUGGUGUAGCGGUGAAAUGCAUAGAUAUCACGCAGAACUCCGAUUGCGAAGGCAGCAUACCGGCGCCCAACUGACGCUCAGGCACGAAAGCGUGGGUAUCGAACAGGAUUAGAUACCCGGGUAGUC
rnacentral:rRNA from 1 species